UCAGCUCUCUUUGCCUUUUGGCUUAGAUCAAGUGUAGUAUCUGUUCUUUUCAGUUUAAUCUCUGAAACUGCUCUACGGAGCAGAAUCGUGAUUAUACUAAUUUUUGGCCCUCGGCGGACUUCCCUCUGGGCUUGCCCAUGGUCGUCUGCCACAGUGUCCCUGGUAUUACACUGCCUCCAGGCGACGCGACUUUGC
rfam:Chaetomium thermophilum var. thermophilum DSM 1495 unplaced genomic scaffold scf7180000011816, whole genome shotgun sequence.